rnacentral:rRNA from 1 species
AAUAUUGGGCAAUGGGGGCAACCCUGAUCCAGCCAUGCCGCGUGGGUGAAGAAGGUCUUCGGAUUGUAAAGCCCUUCAAGUUGGGAGGAAGGGCUUUAGGUUAAUACGCUGAAGUUCUGACGUUACCAACAGAAUAAGCACCGGCUAACUCUGUGCCAGCAGCCGCGGUAAUACAGAGGGUGCAAGCGUUAAUCGGAAUUCCUUGGCGUAAAGCGCGCGUAGGUGGUUCAGUAAGAUGGGAGUGAAAUCCCCGGGCUUAACCUGGGAACUGCUUUCAUAACUGCUGAGCUAGAGUACGGUAGAGGGUAGUGGAAUUUCCUGUGUAGCGGUGAAAUGCGUAGAUAUAGGAAGGAACACCAGUGGCGAAGGCGACUACCUGGACUGAUACUGACACUGAGGUGCGAAAGCGUGGGGAGCAAAC